rnacentral:rRNA from 1 species
CCUACGGGAGGCAGCAGUGGGGAAUAUUGCACGAUGGGGGAAAGCCUGAUGCAGCCAUGCCGCGUGAGUGAUGAAGACCUUAGGGUUGUAAAAUUCUUUUGUCAGGGAUGAUAAUGACGGUACUUGGAGAAGAAGCCCCGGCUAACUUCGUGCCAGCAGCCGCGGUAAUACGAAGGGGGCUAGCGUUGUUCGGAAUUACUGGGCGUAAAGCGCACGUAGGCGGAUUUUUAAGUCAGGUGUGAAAUCCCGGGGCUCAACCUCGGAACUGCAUUUGAAACUGGAAGUCUUGAGACCAGGAGAGGUUAGCGGAAUACCGAGUGUAGAGGUGAAAUUCGUAGAUAUUCGGUGGAACACCAGUGGCGAAGGCGGCUAACUGGACUGGUACUGACGCUGAGGUGCGAAAGUGUGGGGAGCAAACAGGAUUAGAUACCCUGGUAGUCCACACCGUAAACGAUGAGAGCUAGUUGUUGGCAGGCAUGCCUGUCGGUGACGCAGCUAACGCAUUAAGCUCUCCGCCUGGGGAGUACGGCCGCAAGGUAAAACUCAAAGGAAUUGACG